rnacentral:lncRNA from 1 species
UGGGUUUUUAUUGAAUGACCAUGUGAGCUUUCAAUGAUUUUUCGCAUCAUUGUAGUGCCUGGAUGACCAAGACGAUCGUGCCAUAAUGUAACAUCUUCUGGAUUUCUUUUGAUCACAAGAUGUGAUUCUAUAGCAUCAAUAUAAGUGUGAUGCAAUCCAGAAGGAAGUUCUGGAAAUUUUUCCAGUACAAGGUCUUUGCCUGAUUUUUCAGAAGUUAUAUAUAAAUACUUCUUUCCAUUCUCAGUUGCAGACUGAGUGUUAUACCCUUG